rnacentral:rRNA from 1 species
GUGAGGAAUAUUGGUCAAUGGACGGAAGUCUGAACCAGCCAAGUAGCGUGCAGGAUGACGGCCCUAUGGGUUGUAAACUGCUUUUAUGCGGGGGUAAAGUGAGUGACGUGUCAUUCAUUGCAAGUACCGCAAGAAUAAGGACCGGCUAAUUCCGUGCCAGCAGCCGCGGUAAUACGGAAGGUCCUGGUGUUAUCCGGAUUUAUUGGGUUUAAAGGGAGCGUAGGCCGUCAGGCAAGCGUGUUGUGAAAUGUCGUGGCUCAACCAUGGACUUGCAGCGCGAACUGCCCGACUUGAGUGCGCGGAAAGCAGGCGGAAUUUGUGGUGUAGCGGUGAAAUGCUUAGAUAUCACGAAGAACCCCGAUUGCGAAGGCAGCCUGCUGUAGCGCUACUGACGCUGAAGCUCGAAAGUGCGGGUAUCGAACAGGAUUAGAUACCCCUGUAGUCC